UACAUUCUUAACGAAACGCGCCGGUUCUAUGUGUACGUCAGCAACCGCGUACAAAGAAUACGAAGGUCGUCGUCACCAGAUCAGUGGAGAUACGUGGCAACUGACCUCAACCCAGCGGAUCUAGCUACUCGAUCGGUGAAAGCCUGCGACCUCAAAGACUCGUCUUGGUUGGCCGGCCCGAAGUUCCUCCAAAGCACAAUUUCCUUCGACGUUCCACCGGAGACCGAGACCUUCCAACCCCCACAAGAAGACCUAGAACUUCGUCCCGAAAUCACAACCCUCGCCACGAACGCAAAGCCCGCAGUUCAGAAAAACCUUGGAACUGAUCGCUUCCUACGUUUCUCGCGGUGGGCAAACUUAGUGAACGCAGUAUCGAAACUAAUGAUGGUCGCUCAGCAUCACCACCAUGCCAAAGCGUCAGUCGGCAACGAAACUACGGUAAUCCAGGCACGAAAACGCGCACAGUUGUUGAUCGUAAGGAACCUAGAGAUCGAAGCGUUUGAGGAAGAAUUCGAUUCCUUAGAAAAGAAAAAGGGACUGUCAAAAACAUCACCACUGUUAAAACUCAACCCAAUAAUCGACUCAGACAGUCUCAUACGUAUUGGUGGUCGUCUUAAACGAGCUGACCUUCCGUACGAAGAACGACACCCCCUCAUUCUACCCGGGAAACACCACGUGACAAGUCUAAUCGUUAAGAACUGCCACGAAGAAGCGAAACACCAGGGUCGUCAUUUCACCCACGGCAUGGUCAGAUCAAAAGGAUUCUGGUUCGUCGGCGGAAAACGCCUCGUCAAUCGCGUUAUCCAUCAGUGUCUGAAAUGUAAGAAACUCCGAGGCAAGCUUCAUCAGCAGAAGAUGGCAGACCUCCCAUCAGAACGCAUCACUCCAUCACCUCCUUUCACCUUCGUCGGACUGGACGUUUUCGGUCCUUGGGAAGUCACAGCUCGUCGUACCAGAGGAGGACACGCUUACAGUAAACGAUGGGCAGUAAUCUUUACUUGCCUUUCAACGAGAGCUAUUCAUAUCGAAUUAAUCGAGAGUAUGGACGCUUCUAGUUUCAUAAAUGCUCUUCGAAGAUUCAUGGCUAUCAGAGGGCCCGUUCAACAGAUUCGUUCGGACUGCGGAACGAAUUUCAAAGGAGCUCAGAACGAACUAGAAUCGGCUCUAAAGGAAACGGAUCAAAAGAUCGUGGAGACGUACUUGAAUUCUCAAGAAUGCGAAUGGAUUUUCAACUCUCCUCACGCUUCGCAUACAGGAGGCGUGUGGGAACGUAUGAUCGGUAUUUCUAGACGAAUUCUGGACUCGAUGAUGGCCGAGCUAAGACCAACACGACUGACUCACGAAGUCCUAUCAACACUGAUGGCCGAGGUGACAGCUAUCGUAAACAACAGACCGCUAGUAGCCAUCUCAAGCGACCCCUCUGCACCCGAAGUCCUCACACCAUCUACUCUCCUGACGCAAAAAACGGCAACACUUAAGUCAACCCCAGGAAAUUUUGUCCCCCAAGACCUCUAUACCAAACAGUGGCGGCAAGUACAACUAUUAGCCAACCGUUUCUGGUCCAGAUGGAGAAAAGAAUUCCUGCCGACAUUACAAUACAGGCGAAAGUGGACAACAGACGUUCCAAAUCUCCAAGUGGGAGAUCUGGUCCUCCUCCGAUGCAAAGAAUCGCCGAGAAACGAUUGGCCGCUAGCUCGCGUCUCGAAGACCCUAAGCAGCGCGGAUGAAAAAGUUCGAAAGGUAGAAGUUACGACAGCGAAGAACGGCUCAAAGCAAGUGUACACCAGACCAGUGACAGAACUGAUCCUGCUAAAAACUGAAUACGAAUUAAAUUCGUGUUCGUGACUCAAUAAUAACACUUUAGAACGUUAAACGUAGUGGUAUUUUCAUACCAGACGGGGAGUGUUCUGGCCACUAUGGCCCCUAGAUACUUUCUAGAUAGACUUUAAUAUUAUUCACUCGUUUCGCGGUAUUUUUCCGUAAUCGCAUCUCAUUAAUAGCGAGCCAGGGGGUAUUUUUACCGGUUUUUUCUCUGGCUCGGUUCUCACGCCUGAGUGAGCAUUCUUUUUUUACAAAAAGCGAAUAAAAGCAUCGUUUAAACUUAUUCGUCUGUUAUACUACUGUUGAAGGGGACAAGGCCUUUCCCGAAGGAACAGAA
rnacentral:lncRNA from 1 species